GUUUUUAUAGUUUAAACCAAAACAUUGGUCUUGUAAGUCAAUAAUGAAUUUUAAUUCUAAAAACU
rnacentral:tRNA from 1 species